AACACUAAUUAACAUAAAACCCGUAAACCUAUCUAAAUUACCUAUACUAACCACCUAAUCUGUCCUAAACUAAUCAAAUUAGAGAGGAAUUAGCGAGACUUACCAUUGCUACGAAAUAGAAAGGAAGUGGAGAGGAAGUAGAGAGGAAAAAAAGAGUGAGCGCUCAGGAGUAUAUUUAAGAUUACUUAUCCUCGUUAUUUCCUCGUAAAGUUACGAGGAAUUACAAAGGCCCGUGUUUAGCUUUACGAGGAAUUACAGAGGCCCGUGUUUUAUUGUACGAGGAAGUAGUGAGAAAUUACAAAGGCCCGUGUUUAGGUUUACGAAUUAUUUACGAUGAUUAAGCUUACGUGGAAUUUACGAGUCAACAUUUUACGAGGAAUUUCCCGCU
rnacentral:lncRNA from 1 species